AUUGAACGCUGGCGGCAUGCCUUACACAUGCAAGUCGAACGGCAGCACGGGUGCUUGCACCUGGUGGCGAGUGGCGAACGGGUGAGUAAUACAUCGGAACGUACCUUAUCGUGGGGGAUAACGCAGCGAAAGCUGUGCUAAUACCGCAUACGCCCUGAGGGGGAAAGCGGGGGAUCGCAAGACCUCGCGCGAUUAGAGCGGCCGAUGCCUGAUUAGCUUGUUGGUGGGGUAAAAGUCCACCAAGGCGACGAUCAGUAGCUGGUCUGAGAGGACGAUCAGCCACACUGGGACUGAGACACGGCCCAGACUCCUACGGGAGGCAGCAGUGGGGAAUUUUGGACAAUGGGGGCAACCCUGAUCCAGCAAUGCCGCGUGAGUGAAGAAGGCCUUCGGGUUGUAAGGCUCUUUUGUCAGGGAAGAAACACCGGCUCUAACACAGUCCGGGAAUGACGGUACCUGGAGAAUAAGCACCGGCUAACUACGUGCCAGCCGCCGCCGUAA
rnacentral:rRNA from 1 species